rnacentral:rRNA from 1 species
CAGGAUGAACGCUAGCUACAGGCUUAACACAUGCAAGUCGAGGGGCAGCAGGACGAUAGCUUGCUAUUGUUGCUGGCGACCGGCGCACGGGUGAGUAACGCGUAUCCAACCUUCCCCUUAGUAGGGCAUAGCCCGGUGAAAAUCGGAUUAAUACCCUAUGUUAUUCGUCGAGGACAUCUGAAGUGAAUCAAAGAUUUAUCGCUAAGGGAUGGGGAUGCGUCUGAUUAGGUAGUCGGCGGGGUAACGGCCCACCGAGCCCUCGAUCAGUAGGGGUUCUGAGAGGAAGGUCCCCCACACUGGUACUGAGACACGGACCAGACUCCUACGGGAGGCAGCAGUGAGGAAUAUUGGUCAAUGGGCGAGAGCCUGAACCAGCCAAAGUAGCGUGCAGGAUGACGGCCCUAUGGGUUGUAAACUGCUUUUAUACGGGGAUAAAGCGAGGGACGUGUCCCUUAUUGUAGGUACCGUAUGAAUAAGGACCGGCUAAUUCCGUGCCAGCCGCCGC